GUUUGAGUCAGUAACACAGCCCAUACAGAGGAGAGCAAACCCGCUGAUGCUUAAUGCCCCUGCCAUGGCAGUGUCUACAGGGAACAAGGGGGGCCACUAGCCACUGUAACUUUACCUAUUGAAGGUCACCCUACUACUUUCCUGGUUAACACAGGUGCAUCCCGCAGUGUUCCUAGAGAACAAGACCUGCCUGACUCAUCGUUCCUGCCUGACACCGAUGUCUCUUGUGUUGGUGCUGAUGUCCUAUCCCGCCUCCAAGCAUCCAUCACCCUCACUGCAGACGGC